rnacentral:rRNA from 1 species
GUAGGUGGCAAGCGUUGUCCGGAAUUAUUGGGCGUAAAGCGCGCGCAGGCGGUUCUUUAAGUCUGAUGUGAAAGCCCACGGCUCAACCGUGGAGGGUCAUUGGAAACUGGAGAACUUGAGUACAGAAGAGGAAAGCGGAAUUCCACGUGUAGCGGUGAAAUGCGUAGAGAUGUGGAGGAACACCAGUGGCGAAGGCGGCUUUCUGGUCUGUAACUGACGCUGAGGCGCGAAAGCGUGGGGAGCAAACAGGAUUAGAUACCCUGGUAGUCCACGCCGUAAACGAUGAGUGCUAAGUGUUAGGGGGGGUUUCCGCCCCCCUUAGUGCUGCAGCUAACGCAUUAAGCACUCCGCCUGGGAGUACGGCCGCAAGGCUG